rnacentral:lncRNA from 1 species
GUCUCCAGUAGCACAGCAGCUGUGACAGCAAGAGCAGUGUUUUACAGGUAAUCCCUCACUUCCUCCUCAGCACAACCUGAUGAGUUAGAGUCUAUCACCGGCCACAUUUACAGAUGAGUAAACGGAGACUCAGGAACGGUCACUUGCUCAGAGUUGCUAGGCUUGUGGUGUUCUUAACAGCUGUUCUCUUAGCCUCUCUCCAUAAGUCCUGGGCCUCUGUCUGGGUUUAGCAUCAACCGGCCUGGAGUCACUGCCUUCUCCUCCAGCGUGGGGAGAAGAGAGAUGGCAAAGAACGUUUGCUGAACAGUUGGGCUCAAGGUUCAUUUCCAAGGGUAGGCGGCUGAGAUGAGUUCGCCACAGGCUUUAAUUACCCUAUGGGCCCUGGAAUGCAAGGAACAAGAGCCCAGGUUAAGGAGAAGUGGAGGGAAUUGAGGCAUCCAUUGCUGGGGUGGGAGUUGGGAAGGAGCCGAGAAUUAGUGUUCACUGUUCUGCCUGUAUUUGUGCUUUCCAUUGUAAUCAAUAGCAAAGGUGACAAAAUAUAACCUUGCUGUCACUCAACAUUGGUUUCUAAAAUGCAUUUGAACUUGGGUGGGAUUUUAACUUUUACCCAGUGACUUUCUUUCCAGAUUAGAUGGUCUUGGUUCCAAAGGUAGUAGCUACUACAGACAGACCUAAUUCCAACUGACAAGCUAAGGGAAAAUAGCAACGCCCUAAGAGAGGUGCAGAGUCAGAGCAGACAGCUGAGGAGUGAGGUGAAAGACAAAGUGAGGUGGGACGGGGCCCCACUGGCAGGUGGGAGUUCUCAAAGGGGUGUGAUAUGGAGAAGGAAUCUGUGAGGCUCUAAGGACACCCAGGGUGGGUGGGGUGCAGAUAAGACGGAUUAAGUCCAGUUAAGAAAGCCACCUGACUGGUCAGAAGCUUAAGUUCCAUCUUUGUAGCCUAAAAAAGCUGUUCCCCUUUGAGACGGGAAAGAUGUUUAAAAACAGUAUUGCUGGGACUUCCCUGGUGGUGCAGUGGGCUAAGGAUCCGGCAUUGUCACUGCUGUGUCAAGGAAUAAGUCCUUGGCCCAGGAACUUCCGUGUGCCGCAGCACCACCGAACAGAAACAACAACAACAAAAAUAACAAUAGUGCUGUUGGGUUGUAAGCACAGGAAACCCAAAACAGUUGGUGUGUGGGGCAGAGUCAGACAGAGCAGCUGAACGAGCUGGUGACUGCUGAAUUUGGGGCAAAGCAAUCUGCGCAGUCCCAGGCAAACCACUUCCUUUGGAUGGGCCUCCGUUUCCUCAUCUGUGAAAUGGAAAGAUUGAUGAGAAAACCCCACAGGUCCCAAUACGAA